rfam:TPA: Bos taurus chromosome 9, whole genome shotgun sequence.
UCCCUGGAGGCUCAGAGGAUAAAGCAUCUGCUUGUGAUGCGGAAGACCUAGGUUCAAUCCCUGGGUCGGGAA